CAUGCACGAGCCAAGCAUGCAGCACUGAGUGAAACAGGUAACCCAUAGCGCAGCUCCACUGGUUCCAAAUUUGAUGGACACAGCCGUGAGUUACCUGGCAGUAUUGUGGCAGAGGGUAUCUUGUGCCACAGAAGUACAUACGAACAGUCCAGCAGAAAUACAGCAGCAGCCCAAUCCAAGUCUAUAACUCUGCAGAGGCUCAGAGAGAUAGCAGCAAACCAGGUCCUUCUGACAACUCUCCGCAAGCUCGGGAUUCGUCGCAAACCCAGCCAGCCAGCCAGCCAUGUACGAACCCAUAUUUGCCAACAUUGUAGAUUGUCGACUAGGUAUUUCCAGUGCUUUUGUGACCACGUUGUUCAGUGUGUUGGGUGUGGCUUUCUCCCUUCUUGUGAUACUUGUGGAACAACAUUUGAAACCAUCUAAAGAUACAGACAUCAUUUGAAUUUUUGUAUUUAGUUAAGCACACGAGUACAGGAUGACAUAACAUGACAGGAUGAGCCAGCCAACACAAUGUAUAGGUGAGCUACUUGAGCAGAUGGAAAGAACAGAUCAAAGUUCGAAGAAUAAUC